UAAAAAAAGUUAUUACCAAUAUGACAGUAACUGAUUUGUUUUAUCUUAUUUUGCAUAUUUUCCAUCUGACCACCCUCAACAUUAUUCUGAUGCCAGCCAAUGAAAUGGAAAUUCUCACACUCGUGCUGGUACUCUUCAUAGUGCCUUUACAUUUGUCCAUCCCACAACCAAGACAAGCUUUGAACAUUGACAUGGUACAGUUAACGAAGACAAAAGAGGAGAGCAAAGAUGCCAAGAGAGACGCACUGAAAGAAGAGCAGGAGGGCAUGCUUGUGGCAGGGAUCAUCCCUCACGAGGCGAUUCAAAACGAA